GGGCCCAUAGCUCAGUUGGCAGAGCACCGUGCUGAUAACGCGGGGGUCUCAGGUUCAAAUCCUGAUGGGCCCACCA
rnacentral:tRNA from 1 species